GUUUAAUACCUUUAGUUUCCAUUUUGUUGAAUAGGUCGAAUGCAUCAUCCAUAUGUUUGUAUUUGCAAAGACCAUCAAUGAUUGUGUUGUAGAUCACAACAUCAGCCUCUAUUUUCCCUUUCUCCAUCUUGUUGAGCAGAUUUAAAGCCAAAUCAGGUUCACCUCUCUUACAUAAUCCAUUAAUUACCGCACCAUAAGUAACCAGAUCUGGUUGACAACCUUUCACAACCAUCCGUUCAACUAAAGCCACAGCUUCGGAAGCUUUGUUGUGUUGAAAAAGCCCAUGAACCAAAGUUGUAAAUGUGACGGUAUCGGGUUGAUAUCCCAUUUCCACCAUCUGAUCAACCAAAGCAACAGCCUCGGAUAUCCUAUUCCCGUGACAGAAACCAUUGA
rnacentral:sRNA from 1 species